AGUGAACGCUGGCGGUAGGCCUAACACAUGCAAGUCGAACGGCAGCACAGUAAGAGCUUGCUCUUACGGGUGGCGAGUGGCGGACGGGUGAGGAAUACAUCGGAAUCUACUUUUUCGUGGGGGAUAACGUAGGGAAACUUACGCUAAUACCGCAUACGACCUACGGGUGAAAGCAGGGGAUCUUCGGACCUUGCGCGAUCGAAUGAGCCGAUGUCGGAUUAGCUAGUUGGCGGGGUAGAGGCCCACCAAGGCGACGAUCCGUAGCUGGUCUGAGAGGAUGAUCAGCCACACUGGAACUGAGACACGGUCCAGACUCCUACGGGAGGCAGCAGUGGGGAAUAUUGGACAAUGGGCGCAAGCCUGAUCCAGCCAUACCGCGUGGGUGAAGAAGGCCUUCGGGUUGUAAAGCCCUUUUGUUGGGAAAGAAAAGCAGCAGGUUAAUACCCCGCUGUUCUGACGGUACCCAAAGAAUAAGCACCGGCUAACUUCGUG
rnacentral:rRNA from 1 species